AACGAACGCUGGCGGCAGGCUUAACACAUGCAAGUCGAGCGCCCCGCAAGGGGAGCGGCAGACGGGUGAGUAACGCGUGGGAAUCUACCCUUCACUACGGAACAACUCCGGGAAACUGGAGCUAAUCCCGUAUACGUCCUUCGGGAGAAAGAUUUAUCGGUGAUGGAUGAGCCCGCGUUGGAUUAGCUAGUUGGUGGGGUAAUAGCCUACCAAGGCGACGACCCAUUGCUGGUCUGAGAGAAUGAUCAGCCACAUUGGGACUGAGACACGGCCCAAACUCCUACGGGAGGCAGCAGUGGGGAAUAUUGGACAAUGGGCGAAAGCCUGAUCCAGCCAUGCCGCGUGAGUGAUGAAGGCCCUAGGGUUGUAAAGCUCUUUCACCGGUGAAGAUAACGACGGUAACCGGAGAAGAAGCCCCGGCUAACUUCGUGCCAGCCGCCGCGGUAA
rnacentral:rRNA from 1 species